rnacentral:rRNA from 1 species
UACGGGGGGGGCAAGCGUUGUUCGGAAUUACUGGGCGUAAAGGGCUCGUAGGUGGCCAACUAAGUCAGACGUGAAAUCCUCGGCUUAACCGGGGAACUGCGUCUGAUACUGGAUGGCUUGAGUUUGGGAGAGGGACGCGGAAUUCCAGGUGUAGCGGUGAAAUGCGUAGAUAUCUGGAGGAACACCGGUGGCGAAGGCGGCGUCCUGGACCAACACUGACACUGAUGAGCGAAAGCCAGGGGAGCAAACGGG